rnacentral:rRNA from 1 species
GACGAACGCUGGCGGCGUGCCUAAUACAUGCAAGUAGAACGCUGAAGGAGGAGCUUGCUUCUCCGGAUGAGUUGCGAACGGGUGAGUAACGCGUAGGUAACCUGCCUGGUAGCGGGGGAUAACUAUUGGAAACGAUAGCUAAUACCGCAUAAGAGUAGAUGUUGCAUGACAUUUGCUUAAAAGGUGCAAUUGCAUCACUACCAGAUGGACCUGCGUUGUAUUAGCUAGUUGGUGAGGUAACGGCUCACCAAGGCGACGAUACAUAGCCGACCUGAGAGGGUGAUCGGCCACACUGGGACUGAGACACAGCCCAGACUCCUACGGGAGGCAGCAGUAGGGAAUCUUCGGCAAUGGACGGAAGUCUGACCGAGCAACGCCGCGUGAGUGAAGAAGGUUUUCGGAUCGUAAAGCUCUGUUGUAAGAGAAGAACGAGUGUGAGAGUGGAAAGUUCACACUGUGACGGUAUCUUACCAGAAAGGGACGGCUAACUACGUG